rnacentral:lncRNA from 1 species
UAUCUAAGUUUAAAUGAGCAAUGGGCCGGCAGCUAAUUUGCGUCUCUCCUUAUUUUUGUUUUGUUAGAUCAAUGAUAGGAGAAUGAAUGCUUCCGUGAAUCAUUCGCUGUCCGUUUGGGAUGUAACGUUGGGCAUGGAUACCCAAGUCCAUCCAAUAGUCAUUUUAGGGUUUUAUGCUUGGAGGCUGGUAUACAUACCUGGAGGAGGACUAUGCAAAGAAAUAUGCUACGUGGCAAGUGUCACCUUUCUGCAGAGUGCUGCAAGCAACAGCAGUAACUAAGCAAGCCUUGAAAAACACGGAGUAUGUGAAGUAUCCACUGCAAGCUACCUGCUUGCUUACUGGAAGUGUUGGACAACUGGCCUGCUUCUGGGGGUGUUUAAGAAGAAUCCUUCUCUAUCCCACCACAAACUCAGAAUCUCCGUGCACAAGGUACUGGUGCUGUGUAAUGAUAAUCGUUGGCCAUCACUCCUCAUUUUGCUAUGUAAUUGGCAUUGCAGCCAAUGCAAGCCGAGGUCCCACUGUUUAUGAUCCGUAACAAACAGUUUCAUAAGUGAGUCAUUGGCAGUAAUUUGAUUGGAUCCUUGCAGAGCCUGUACGAUGCACACAAUGGGGUCUUUGAUAAGCAUCAAAUGGAUUUUGAGACGUCCGUGGACAGCUUUCUAUAUUGCGGCAGCCUGAGACAAUAGGAUUUUAGCAGAAUUUAUUUUUGAAACCCAGUUAAAAGUUUGUAUUAUUUACAGAGCUGCGGUGAACCUCGCAGUCAAAUAACUGCUGUAUGGACAUAAUUCUCAGUGAGAGGUAAUUCAGCUCUCGUUGGGUUUUUGCAUAGCAAAAUAGUAAUGGUAAAAGGGCCAGGCACACAAUCAUGAACCGUGAAGUGCUCAGUAGAACUGGAUGGAGAAAGUGUGACAACACAUUUAUUCAUUGGAAUUUGCCUAUUAGUAGAUAUUAAAAUGUUUUGUGGAGAGGGUGAUUUUCAGGCAGUUCUGAUGGAUUUUGAGGCAGGGAUUUUCUUGGAAAUCUGUCUCAUUUUCCUGCCAGCUCACCUGAUCAGCUCCUCAGCGGCCCGUCUGUAGGGCUGAUGGAGAGUUGCUAGCCUGGAAACCGUGAGAGCUC